rnacentral:lncRNA from 1 species
UUCGAAAUACUUGAUUAUAUUUUAAUUUUUAAUUUAAGUUCAAAUUAAAAUUUAAAAUUAUAUAUUUAAUUUUUAAAUUUUAACUCAUAUUUUAAUUAAAAAAGUUGAAAAAAUAAAUUUAAUCCGAAUAAAUAUCCAUUCCGUCCGAAUUUAACUUCCAUACGAUUUUAUUUUUCUCUUUCUAUCAGCCCCUCCAUUAACUUCUCCAUUAAAAUAUAUAAAAAAAACUUCAGAUAUUCCCCUGUGGUUUGCUUAUUUUUCACCUUAAUACACUGUGAUUUUAACUUUAUUACUAGUUUAAUCAAAAAAUUAACAAAACA